AUACUUAGUACGGCGAGUGAGCGGUAAAAGCUCAAAUUUGAAAUCUGGUACUUUCAGUGCCCGAGUUGUAAUUUGUAGAAUUUGUCUUUGAUUAGGUCCUUGUCUAUGUUCCUUGGAACAGGACGUCAUAGAGGGUGAGAAUCCCGUUUGGCGAGGAUACCUUUUCUCUGUAAGACUUUUUCGAAGAGUCGAGUUGUUUGGGAAUGCAGCUCAAAGUGGGUGGUAAAUUCCAUCUAAAGCUAAAUAUUGGCGAGAGACCGAUAGCGAACAAGUACAGUGAUGGAAAGAUGAAAAGAACUUUGAAAAGAGAGUGAAAAAGUACGUGAAAUUGUUGAAAGGGAAGGGCAUUUGAUCAGACAUGGUGUUUUUUGCAUGCACUCGCCUCUCGUGGGCUUGGGCCUCUCAAAAAUUUCACUGGGCCAACAUCAAUUCUGGCAGCAGGAUAAAUCAUUAAGAAUGUAGCUACUUCGGUAGUGUUAUAGCUUUUUGGAAUACUGUUAGCCGGGAUUGAGGACUGCGCUUCGGCAAGGAUGUUGGCAUAAUGGUUAAAUGCCGCCCGUCU
rnacentral:rRNA from 1 species